CCAUCUUCCUCCUAAUCAGUGUAUUGCUUUAAAAGAUCGUCGCCUCUGGACAAAAAAAUAAACGUGCGCCCGAAUUGCAUGGCGCGUCCUUUAAAUCUCAGCGGGGUUCAGUUCCGCUGCGGGUCUAAGGUGCCGUUUAGGGACGGUGCGCGGGGGGCAGCGAGGUGCGGCGGGCCGGUCGGCGUGACAGCGCGCCUGUCGUCCGCCGCUUGUCGCCGAUCAGGAGAGGCGCCUCGGGAGAGACACGUAUCAGCAAGGUGCAGGCUGUCGGGGGCAAGAGUGAGGGGAUCCUUUACUGCAUGCCCGCGAGGCGCUCGCUGUGACACCCUUCCUCAGGGGGGCAGCAGUGAGGUGCUCACCCUGAUGUCAUUCCUUAGUGCUUCAUGAAUAGAAUGGGCUGACGUAGCAAUCGCUGCAUGCAUUCAUCCAUUACCUUAAUACCUCUGCAAGCGGCCUCACUGCAACGCCAUUCGCCAGUCCCUAAUUGGGGGGCCCUGAAGUGCAUCCCCGGCCCCCCCCCACCGGUUUGGUUCCCUCAUGCCGCCCUCUCGUGGGGGCUUGGCGUCCACAGUUAAACAUGCGCCUCCGCAGACGUGUCAUGUGCUGUACAUCAGAAAGGAUCAGCGACCUGGUCCGAAAAUCACAUGACCGUGGAUCAGAGGCCCGGCAAGUAACAGAGAGCGGCACUCCCACACUUUAACCUAAAGUACAAGCAUACGCUGCGGGGGAGAAAGAGACCCCCCCACAAAGACACAGUCGGCGUGUGGUGAAGGCUCACAUCCCACCCAGCUUCCCCUGUAUCUGCUGCUGCUCCUGUUCCAAGCCGCAAGCCGUCGAUUUGCAUCCCGUCCCAUCGCCGCCCAACUUCGGUUUACAUCGACAGUUUAAUUGAAGUUUUUCCUAAUGCUGUCAAGGGUCAUUUCAUCACAGUGCCAGAAACCCACUUGGAAAAUGCAUUUUUUACUCCGAAAGCCAGAUCAAAGGGCUUUGGCCCCAGGCUACUUGAACAAGACUACUAAAGAAAAGGAUUUCAAAAAGAAUUCUAGAGCAGUCUUGGGAUUCGUCAAACAAGUCCCGUGUUCCCCGUUAUUUGCCGCACGACGUCGGGAAGCCGGUACCGGUUGUGACACUCCGAACUUGAAGCACCGCAGCCGGUGCCACUUAGCGCAACGAAGGCCCACGGAUGACAGUGGAUCGCGGAAGAACCUCAGUCUGUCCAUAAUUGUUCCCCCAGUUCCACGCUGGAGUCGCACAGACGUGGUACCUGGAGGAGGUGCCCCCCCUCCACCCCUGCCAGCUGCUUGAGACCGCGGUUGCAGUGGAGGAGCAUCCCAAUUAGCGGAACGUGCCCCAUUCACCAGUGCACAGUUGCGUGCCUCUUCACUGGCCGCCAGUAUCUCAGUCGCGGGGCAGACCCACGGCUCCGCUGCGCCCUGGGCCGGCCUGGACACCUUUACCAUCGGCUUGCGUAAAAAUGGACGGUCAGAGACCAUCCAGCGUCUAUAAGAUACAGAAAAGUCACAGAAAUGACUCCCGUGAGCUUCCCGUUUUGUGGACUUAAUCACACACACAUAAGCAGAUUAAAGCAUUAAUGCAACAAAUUAUCCUGUUCAAAUUCUAAGAGUAAAAAGUCUAAAUUUCCAUAAGUAACUAAAGGGUAAGUGUAAAUGUUUUUGUUUUAAGUGCCUCUUUAAGUGCUUUACGCAAACUGACAUUAAGCUGCGAUCUCUGCCCAGGUGUCCCAAUCCCAGACCAGCCAGUAUGUCAUCUGACGGUCAUUGGGUGUAUUUCAGAUACUUCAUGCUGUUUUCUGACUAGCGUGGUUCAACCAUAAAUGUCCAAUAAACUAUGACUGGUUCCUGUUCA